rnacentral:misc_RNA from 1 species
GAUGAAGAACGUAGCGAAAUGCGAUAAGUAAUGUGAAUUGCAGAAUUCAGUGAAUCAUCGAAUCUUUGAACGCACAUUGCGCCCGCCAGUAUUCUGGCGGGCAUGCCUGUUCGAGCGUCAUUACAACCCUCAGGCCCCCGGGCCUGGCGUUGGGGAUCGGCGGAAGCCCCCUGCGGGCACAACGCCGUCCCCCAAAUACAGUGGCGGUCCCGCCGCAGCUUCCAUUGCGUAGUAGCUAACACCUCGCAACUGGAGAGCGGCGCGGCCACGCCGUAAAACACCCAACUUCUGAAUGUUGACCUCGAAUCAGGUAGGAAUACCCGCUGAACUUAAGCAUAUCAAUAAGCAGAGGA